rnacentral:rRNA from 1 species
ACAUCGCCUCUUGCAAAAUCAAAGAAUAAGAGGUCCCGCCUGCCCUGUGACUAUAAGUUUAACGGCCGCGGUAUUUUAACCGCGCGAAGGUAGCGCAAUCACUUGUCUUUUAAAUGAAGACCUGUAUGAAUGGCUAGACGAGGGCUUGACUGUCUCCUUUUUCAUGUCAAUGAAAUUGAUCUCCCCGUGCAGAAGCGGGGAUCCUACCAUAAGACGAGAAGACCCUAUGGAGCUUUAGACACCAAGGAAGACCAUGUCACCAACCCUCUAACACGAGACCAAACAAGUGGUUUACCUUCCCUAAUGUCUUUGGUUGGGGCGACCGCGGAGAGUGACAAAACCCCCGCGUGGAAUAGGCACAUCCUCUUCCUUCAACUAAGAGCCACAGCUCUAACUAACAGUAAUUCUGACCACCACAGAUCCGGCAAAGCCGAUUAACGGACUUAGUUACCCUAGGGAUAACAGCGCAAUCCUCUUAUAGAGUUCAUAUCGACAAGGGGGUUUACGACCUCGAUG